GGUGUAACUGCCAGUUUAAAAAGCUUCCUCUUUACUUCAUAACCCACUUCAAGAACAAAUGCAUCUAACGGUAUCAGCCCCAGGGCAGACGCCUGGAGAUGUCACAUUGUUGUCCUUGCUCAGCCUUGAAGUUCCUUGAGAUGGUUCAAAGGAGGAUCACAGCAGCACAACUGCAGAAGAGUUACCAGUGUUGGACCACUUCUACUGUCAAUAAAUAUUCAGACAUGUUCUCUCACUUUUCCUUGUAAAAGAUGGUAUUGCUGAAACUGUAAAACAAAAGCUUUCUUCAGGAAACAGAAAAGGAGUGAUUGUUUUCUGAAAAGAGAAAUCAGAGUAUACAUGUAGUUUUCUCUGAGGCUAGGAAAGGUCUAGAAGUGAGCCAGGCGGGUAUUUUAACUAUGUGAAAAUUGUUUAUGAGAACCUCAGGAGCUCCCUGAGGAGUGAAAAGAUCCAAGAAUGGACUAACAGGAGGAAGAGUAAUUUGCAGUUGGUCCUGGUUUUGAUAUUCACAUGGCACUGGGGAGAUGAAGGGAGGUCUAACCUGAACACUUAUAACAUCUCCUUAGUAAAGGUGUCCUUCAGAGCAGUGAGAGGACAUUUUGGUGCUUGUAGUUCACUCUUCUCAUAUGAGGAUCACACAAAGGCUUUUAACUCUUUCAGCAGUUUUGCAGUAGCCUUGCCUUUCAGUAUUGGUACAUAAUACACACAUGGGGAUGUAAACUGAAUUCACAAAAACCCAUAAAAAAACAAGUUUCCUUUUGAGCAAGAAGAAUGCUAAGACAGCAUUUCUCAUGUGAUUUAUGUUCAAAAUUGCUAGAGUUUUUAACAGAAACUGAAUACAAUAUGCUUAAAUUUACUGUAGAGCACUGUUAUCAUCUUGGAUUCUCUAUGCAUUCUUUUUCACAGGGAAUGAGACCAGAAGUUUUUUUUACUUUAUGAUAAUUUUGUACAGCUCUAUCCAGUACUAAAGCAGAUGAUAAAAAAACCCAACCAAUCACCAACAACAAACAAAAAAACUCCACAACCCCCCCAACAAACAACAAACUCACUCCUCUCACCCAAAAAAAAACAAACCCAAAAGCAUAAUACUUCUUUUAAAGCAAAUAAAUUUUAUCUGACUGUUAUAUUCUGAAUGGAAGCUAAAAAUCAUAAAAGUAAGGAUCCUUUUCAAAAGAAGUAAGAAAUGGUCUAAGUUAAGGAAACAAUAUUGUUGCUUGUGUACCUAGAGCUCUGUAUGAGCAAUAAUUAAAAAAGACAAUGUCUUUUGGUUUAAAAAAGCAAUUUAUUUCCACCUUCUAUGUGUGGCAGUCAAGCAAAAAGGAUUGCCACCUUUUUACAAAUUUAAAACAUUGUUUCAUAUGCAUCCAGCUUUUGUUUAAAUGCCAACCCUUCUCCUCAAGUGCUGCAUUAUUAUUUUCUGAACAAAAGUGUGUUGAUCAAG